AAAUAUUUGAAUUGUGAGUUAUCCAAUUCUUUUUUGUUCUGACGGAAUUGAUUUGACUUAUCAAGCUUAGCUUGUGGCGUCUAUCCAUUUCUUGUUUCCGAACUUAUCACUUUCAUAGUGUGGUGUUCAUCAUAUACCAAGGUUUCUAUCAUCCUUGAUAGUGGGUCGAGGUUCAUCAUAUACCAAGGUUCCUAUCAUUCUUGAUAGUGAGUCGAGGUCUUUUAAACCGUAAUCAUCUAAGAGCCAUUUGAGAUUUGGUCAACAAUCAAGUAUUGUUGGUUCAUUUUCGGCCUUAGUAAAUUUAUCAUUUGUUUUGUUAAGCCUUUAUUACUGAUCGGGCAACAUACGACUCGAACCAAUCACGAAACGAGUUCGUAUCAAAGCGGGUCCUUUCCAGCAAUUGGGCUAAUUUCGUAAAAGGAAAAUGUGUGAGACUUGAAGCAGAGAUGAGAAGAUAUUUAAAAGGAAUCAGAGCAUUUGGUAUAGUAGUCUGGAUCAUUGGGUUUUAAAUAGAUGUUAAAUCUUUUGUUACAGCAGUUGAAUAACUGUUUUUUUAUAAUUUUAUAAUUCUUUUUGUUUUUUGAAUUUUUUUAAAUAAUCCAUUUACUUUAAACGAAAUGGAUUAAUUAAACUAAUCUAAUGAUCUAAUUAGUCCCAGCAUUAAUCCAGUUUGUUAACAAAUCGUUUUGAUAUAUUGGCAUCUUGUGCUGCAAACAAUAAUUUCAUCAUUGUAGGAAAAAUUAAAAAAGAGAAAAAUCAAAACCAGUGGUUUUGCUAGUCUAGUGCCCAAUUUUUUAUUUUAUUUUUUUAAAAAUAACAACAGCUGGAUUUUAUUGAAAAUAACAAGAGAGUACAAGCCAAAUAAAGUCUUAAAGCCCAAUAAAUAAACUAAACUAAAUCCAACAAACAAUAUGCUGGCCAGCUAUUUGUUGUAAAAAUUUGUUAAUAAUUAUUAUAUUUUUUACAUUGUAAUAACUUUUUAUAAAUUUUUAUAACUUUCGACACAAUCAUAAUAUAUCACAUAAAAAAAAACACCAUUGAUUACCCUUAACUAUCAAAGGGGCUACUUAAAUGUAUUUUCUCAAGAGAAGAGUGUAAUUAGAUGAAAAAAUCAUUGAUUCUUUUAGAAAAAAGUUUUGAGAGUGAAAUUAUUAUGGUGAAGAAUGAAAUUUUAUUGUGGAUGUGAAUUGUGCAACAUGGAAGAAUUACCUGGAAAAUGAUGAUGAUGAGAGUGGAGUGAAAAAUGGAAAAGCUUAGAAAAAAAAUGAAAAUUUCAGCCAUGCACAUGUAUCAAUAAUAAGUGUUAGGAUGGAUGGAUACUGUGGUCAAUUUCGAUGCCUUUUUAUAAUUGCUAGGAAUGCAGUUUCUUUCUUUAUAAAUCAAUUUUUGGUUUUCCUACACUCCAAAUUUUGUCAAGAGUAGCCUUUUUUUUUCUUUGUAGGAAAAUGACAAGUGUCGAAACAAUUGGAAAAUUAGGCUACUAUUCAUGGUUUUGCUGGAGAUAUUUCCAAUGGUGGUGGAAAUGAUCAUGCUGGCAGAGUAUAAAGUGUUAAUAAAGGUAAUGAAUGUGAUGGGGCAUGUCAUUCAAAGCAAAGGACCGAGGCUUGCUAAGGCAGAUGAGCAAGUUAAUGACCCACAAAAACAAAUUAACUUCUCAU
rnacentral:lncRNA from 1 species